AACCUAAUUACUCCAUUAUUUUUUCAUUUAGCUGGCCAUUUGCAUAGGUAAAUGAUACCCAUAUAUAUAGGAUCAAGGGACAAAUAUUUUUACAAAUACCUUUAGACUCUUUUUAAGCCUUUUGAGUACAUGACAUCUAAUGGUUCUUAUUUAUUCAUUAAAUGACAUGGAUGCUUAUGUGGAUUUUAACUAAUAUUAAAGAUAAAUAAAACUGAAAAUUAAAUAAAAUCUAGAAAAUUAAAAAUAUAAUUAAAAAAUGAAGAUAAUUUAUCUGAAAUUGGUUCUCCCAUUCUGAGAUCAAGACUUGGAUUCAGACUUUGAACCCUAAUAAAAAUAUCAUGAAACUUAUUCUUUGCUGAUGGGGAAGCUUGAUAGAAUCUCUUCUUUCAUUUUAUAAAAAAUAAACCCUAAUAAUAACAAAACAAGACACUUUUUAAAUUUAAAAAAAAACAUGAUACCAGGCAUAGGUAAUACCCAACGUAAACAAGGAUUGAGUUUUUAUUUUAUAAAAAAUAAACCUAAUAAUAACAAAACAACAUACUCUUUUCCUUCCUUGGAGCUUUUAUCAUAUUUAUCAUCUUGUUUUUGAAUUGGUCUGAUAAAAACAUGCUCAAGUUUAUAUUUAUAGAUAGUUUUUUAGACAAGUAAUUUUGAAAAAUAAUCAUUCAAAUAUUCAAGUACCUUCAAAGAAAACAAAACUGAAUCCCCAUCGUUCAACAACCGAAACACAAUUCAAACUGAAAUAACAUGAACAAGGGUAAUAUAUUCAACUUCAUGUAAUUGCCAUAGGAUCAUGUAUUACCCUUGACAAAUAAUUGUACCUUGUAUGACGAAUAUAUGAAGUCGAAAGCUUCACGUAAACUGUUCAUGUUACCCUUGUAUGACGAGUAUCUGAUAAUAAUUGUGCCUUCUUUUCUUCAAGGGUAUUAUAUUCAACUUCACAUCAAUCUAGGGUUUCUUCCCUCUUUUAAUUAUAUUUUUAAUUUUCCAGAUUUUUUUUUUUCAGUUUAUUUUAUCUUUAAUAUUAAUUAAAAUCCACAUAAGUAUCCAUGUCAUUUAAUGAAUAAAUAAGAACUAUUGGAUGCCAUGUAAUCAAUGUUAGAGUAUAUAGGAUAUGGAGGGUGUGGAUCAUGACACAUGUAAAUAACCAAAUACAUAAGGCAGUUAAGAGUGUGGUUGUUAGAAUGAUUAGUUAGGAUUGUUGGUAAUAGACUGAGUUAGUUAAGGCAGUUAGCUAAAGACUCAUCUAUAUAGCAACUAUCUCUUGUAACCAUUCAACUAAUCAAGAAAAUAGAAUUGUGAUCUCUCUCUCUCUCUCUCUCUCUCUAAACCUCUUUUGUUAUCUUCUUCACUGUGAUCACUCGGUUCUCCUUAUGUUGAUUAACAUGGUAUCAUCGUCUUGAAAUCCAUUCGUGAUUUCUCGAUCCUUGGUCUGCUUCCGCUACUAUCUUCUUCCUCAAUAUACUGAUUUUCUGUUUUGUUCUGAAAAUUUUGGGCAUCUCUCUUGUCCCAAUUCUGUGAUUUGUUCUUGGUGAAUUCUUGCACACCAGGUGUUUGAUUUUUUCUCACUCAGAUUCUAUCAAGAUGAUCACUGCAAAUCAAUUGCAAAUAUUGCAAUCCCCGAUUACCAAUCUGAUUGCAUCAGUCUCUAAUUCAGUUACUGUGAAGUUGGAUGAUUCCAAUUAUCUUCAAUGACAUUUUCAGUUGCAAUUAAUGCUUGAAGGAUAUGGAAUCAUGGGGUUUGUCGAUGGCACUAAUGUGUGUCCUCCUCAGUUUUCUUCAUCUGGGUCUCCUAAUUCGGAUCUAACCUCUACAUCUUCAACUCCACAAACUGAAACUGAUGAGUAUAAGAUUUGGAAGAUGCAUGAUAGGGCUCUCAUGCAACUUCUUACUGCAACUCUGUCAUCCUCAGCCAUUUCUUGUGCCAUAGGCAGCACUAGCUCCAGGGAUCUUUGGAUUCGGCUUCAAGAACAAUUCUCUACUAUUAGUCGUACAUCCAUCUUUAAGAUGAAAGUUGACCUUCAGAACAUAAAAAAAGGUUCUGAUUCUGUGUCCAUGUAUCUUCAACGUAUUAAAACAGCUCAAGAUUUUCUUGCAGAUGCAGGGGUUAUCUUUGCCGAUGAAGAUGUUGUGAUAUUGGCCCUCAAUGGUCUUCCUGCCGAAUAUAACACGUUCAGAUGUGUUAUUCGUGGAAGGGAAAAUGUUAUAUCUCUUAAGGAGUUUCGUUCUCAAUUACUUGCAGAGGAAGUCACUGUUGAGAACAUUGCCUCAAUGCCAUUUAUGUCUGCAAUGAUGGCCAAGAACAAUAGUCAAGGAUCACAGAGUUAUGCUGUUGGGAAUUCUUCAAAUGGUCUUCAUAGUCAUUCUUCGCCAAUCAACAAUGGUGGUAAUUUUGGAUUUACUGGUCAACCUGGACAAUCCAAUUUUUUCAAUGGUGGAAAUCAGUCAAAGUAAAGGGAAAGGGAAGUUUAACAACAAUCAAGGACAGAGAUAUUAUAAGCCUGUGGUCCAUGAUUUUGCACUUGGAAUUCUUGGGACUCCAUCUUCCUAUCAUAAUGGUGCUUCUUCUUCAAAUGUUAUCUAUCAUAUUUGCUCUAAACAUGGUCAUUCUGCUGCCACUUGUAACUAUAGAGAUGCUGAACCUGUUGAGCCUUGUCAAAUCUAUGACAAGAAAAAUCAUACUGCCAUAACCUGUUUCUUCAGGAAUAAAUCUCCCAAUCAAGUCCCACACAUGGCUGCCAUGAAUACUACUCACAUGUUGUCUUCUCAAAUGUCCAACUCUGUUCCUUUGGCCACCAUAACACAAUAUUCACCUGAAGUUUGGCUCACGGAUUCUGGGGCCACAAACCAUAUGACUACUGAUAUGAGGAAUCUAAGCUUGGCGUCACCAUAUCCAAUCACUGAAACUGUUUAGACUGCAAAUGGGGAAGGUUUGCAAGUGUCUCACGUUGGCACAUCUCUCUUAAGGACUUCUCCUUAUCCUUUGAAAUAGAACUCAGUUCUUUAUGUGCCCAAACUGUCUCAUAAUCUUUUAUCUGUGCAUCGAUUAUGUUUAGACAAUAAUUGUUGGCUAAUAUUCGAUUCAUUCUCUUUUUGGAUCCAGGACAAGGCCACAGGGAGAGUUCUAUUCCGAGGAGCUUGCAAUAAUGGACUCUACCUCAUUUCAUCCCUUCAACCACACCAAUCUGCAUCCAAUUCUAAACUCAUGGCUUGCUUGGGAAAAUUAGUCAAUUCAACUAUUUGGCACAAUCGACUAGGUCAUCCUUCCAACUCAGUUUCUUCUACAAUGCUUAAGAAGUCGAACAUAGUCACUGUCCAUGAUACACCUUCCACAUUGUGUCAACACUGUUUAGAAGGGAAAUUUAGCAAGUUACCUUUUCAGUCUGUUCAAUCAAAAUAUGUGGUUCCGUUUGAGGUGAUCCAUAGUGAUUUGUGGGGUCCAGCACCUUGUCAAUCUGUAGAUGGUUAUAAAUACUAUGUUCUGUUCACAGAUGAAUGUACUAGAUUCAGUUGGAUUUUUUCCUUAAUCAAUAAAUCUGAUUUUUUCCCUACAUUUGUCUCCUUCUAUCAUUAUGUUUUCACUCAAUUAACAACCAAAAUUAAAACUUUUCAAAGUGAUGGAUGAGGAGAAUUUAUAAGCAAAAAGUUUCAAGCUUUUCUUACUGCACAAGGUGUGUUUCAUCAGCUUUCAUGCCCCUAUACACCUGAACAAAAUGGGUUGGCUGAACUAAAACAUAGACAUAUUGUAGAGACUGCCCUUACUUUGUUGCAAACUGCUCAUUUAUCCCAUCAUUUUGGACCUAUGCCUGUCAUACAGCAACCUAUUUGAUCAAUCGAAUGCCAACCACUGUCCUUCACAACAAAUCACCAUUUGAACUUCUAUAUAACGAUGUCCCUGACCUUUCUCACUUAAGGGUGUUCGAUUGUUCGUGUUAUCCUCUCCUUAAAUCAUAUAACAUCUCCAAACUGCAACCUAAAACCUCUCGAUGCUUAUUUUUUGGAUAUGCUUCUCAUUAUAAAGGUUAUAUCUGUUAUCAUUUACAAACCAAAACAACCUACAUUUCGAGACAUGUCCUGUUUAAUGAACUUGAAUUUCCAUUCUCAUCACUACCAAUUUACCCAACCUCUAAGGUCAUUGCUCCCACUCCAUCACUUGCUACUGCACCAUUACCAACUCCAACCUUUCAAAAUAUCCUUGUCUCACCAAUUUCAACCUCUAGAGUGCAAACUUCAUCUUCGGGUAGGGAUACUUCAUAUUCAUCACCUCAAGGGCAUGCACAAUCACCUUCAUCCAAUUGUCAAUCACCUCUCUUGCAUACAGGGUCACUUCACAGAUCUAUUGAGUCCACAGAUUUGUCCCACUCUUCUAGCUCAUAUAAGACUAAUACCCCACCCACCUCACAGUCCAUUAUUGCUGCUCCAUCCUCCUCUACACCAUCUCUUGUGGCCCUUGAUUUCUGUCCUGAGACACUGCAAGUUGUUCUUGAGAUUCCACCUAUGAAUCUCCAUCCGAUGCAGACUCGAUCCAAAAGUGGCAUUGUGAAGCAUAAAGCCUUAUAUGCAUCAGUUUGUGAUUCUGAAGGGGUUGAUCUUACUGUAACCGAGCCUGCCACAUAUAAGUCAGCUUUGAAAGAACCAGUGUGGCUUAAGGCUAUGACUGAAGAGAUUGAAGCCUUGCAUUCUCAAGGAACCUGGAGUAUAGUCGAUCUUCCUUAUAACAAAAAUCUUGUUGGCUGCAAGUGGGUCUUUAAAAUCAAGAGGAAUUCUGAUGGGACAAUUGCGCGGUACAAGGUGAGACUGGUUGCAAAAGGAUUUAAUCAGGAGCAUGAACUUGAUUAUGGUGAAACCUUCAGUUCGGUUGUUAAACCAACCACUGUCAGGUUAGUCUUAGCUUUGGCAGCUCAUCAUGAUUGGCCCCUUCAUCAAUUAGAUGUCAAAAAUGCUUUUCUUCAUGGUUUUCUUCAAGAAGAAGUUUAUAUGUCCCAACCUCCUGGCUUGAAGAUCAUCAUCAUCCUCUUAAAGUUUAUCGGUUACACAAGUCUCUCUAUAGCCUCAAGCAAGCCCCAAGGGCUUGGAAUGACAGGUUCACGAGCUUUCUGCCUACAUUGGGGUUCCAUAAUACAUAUGUUGAUUCAUCACACUUUGUCAAGAGCUCUGGUUCUUCACUUGUGAUUUUGUUGCUAUACGUUGAUGACAUAAUCCUCACUGACAAUGACCCUAAGUUGAUUGCACAGGUUAUUACAGAUUUAACAAAGGAAUUUGAUCUCAAAGAUCUGGGGUCUCUUCAUUAUUUUCUUGGGAUACAAAUCACAAGAACAGCUGACGGGUUAUUCUUAUCUCAAGAGAAGUAUGUGCACGAUUUGUUGAAGAAAACUGAAAUGCUUGAAUCUAAACCAUGUGCCACUCCCUGUUUACCUUAUAAUAGGUUAUUGAAGGAUGAUGGGGACCCAUUUAAUCAUCCAACCCUCUAUAGAAGUAUUGUUGGUGCCUUACAAUACUUGGUUUUUACCCGACCUAACGUAGCCUUUCCAGUUCAUCAAGUUUGUCAGUUUAUGCAGUCUCCAAUGGCUUCUCAUUACUUGGCUGUGAAGAGGAUCUUGAGGUAUCUCAAAGGGACUAUGACACAUGGAAUUCGAUAUACAAAAGGCAGUUUAACAAUUCGAUCAUUUAGUGAUGCAGAUUGGGCUGGAGACCCUAAUGAUAGGCGGUCUACAACAGGUUUGGUGGUGUUUCUUGGUAGCAAUCCUAUCUCUUGGGCUUCAAAGAAACAACAAACCGUCUCAAGGUCAUCAACUGAAGCUGAAUAUCGCGCCCUUUCAUCCACUGCUGCUGAAUUGGAUUGGCUGCAACAAUUGUUUCAAGUUCUACAAGUUCAUAUUCCUUACCCCCUAGUUCUUUUUUGUGACAAUCUUUCGGCAAUCGCACUAUCCUUUAAUCCAGUUCAACAUCAGCGCACCAAACAUAUUGAAGUUGAUGUUCACUUUGUGAGAGAACGGGUUGCAAGUAAGAAGCUCUUGGUUCAGUUUGUCUCUUCUUCUGAGCAGUUUGCUGAUAUUCUUACCAAGGUCUGAGUUCGCCAUUGUUCAAGACUCACUGCAACAAUCUCAUGCUUGGGCCACCAUGUGCUUGCGGGGGGGAUGUUAGAGUAUAUAGGAUAUGGAGGUGUGGAUCAUGACACAUGUAAAUAACCAAAUACAUAAGGCAGUUAAGAGUGUGGCUGUUAGAA
rnacentral:lncRNA from 1 species